GGAACUUGGUCCAGUGGUAAGACGUUCGCACAACAUGCGAAAGACCUGCGUUCGAUUCGCAGGAUGUCCA
rnacentral:tRNA from 1 species